GGGGAUGUGGCUCAGUGGCAGAGCACUUGCCUUGCAUGUAUGAGGCCCUGGGUUCGAUCCUCAGCACCA
rnacentral:tRNA from 1 species